CCUACGGGAGGCAGCAGUGGGGAAUUUUCCGCAAUGGGCGAAAGCCUGACGGAGCAAUACCGCGUGAGGGAAGAAUGCCUACGGGUUGUAAACCUCUUUUAUCAGGGAGGAACAAAAUGACGUGUACCUGAUGAAUAAGCAUCGGCUAACUCUGUGCCAGCAGCCGCGGUAAGACAGAGGAUGCAAGUGUUAUCCGGAAUUACUGGGCGUAAAGCGUCUGUAGGUUGUUGAACAAGUCAACUGUUAAAUCUUGAAGCUCAACUUCAAAAUCGCAGUCGAAACUGUUUGACUAGAGUAUAGUAGAGGUAAAGGGAAUUUCCAGUGGAGCGGUGAAAUGCGUAGAUAUUGGAAAGAACACCGAUGGCGAAAGCACUUUACUGGGCUAUUACUGACACUCAGAGACGACAGCUAGGGUAGCAAAUGGGAUUAGAUACCCCAGUAGUCCUAGCCGUAAACUAUGGAUACUAGAUGUUGAACAGAUCGACCUGUGCAGUAUUAAAGCUAACGCGUUAAGUAUCCCGCCUGGGAAGUUAUGCUCGACGAAGGGUAGAAACGUUAAAGGAAUUGGACGG
rnacentral:rRNA from 1 species